rnacentral:lncRNA from 1 species
GACAAGUAAGCCAAAUUUCAAAUGUAGUUUGUCACGAGAGUUGUUGGUCCUUGCAACUUUAGCUCAUAUCCCAAGAAAUACUGAAAUGUUGUCUUGACGCAAAUCUUUUUUAGGAUAGAUGUAGAAGGUAGUCUCUAAAAUAGAUUCAAGCUUUAGGAAUAUUCUUUGAUUUUGUGUUUGACUUUAAGUCUUCAUUGAGCGCAUCAUCAAAUGCUCUCUCACUUCUUUAUCAGACAUUUUGGUUGAUCUUUGUAACACUCAUUUCGUCUGACACUCAUCAAUGCUUAUCAGAGGAAGUAAAAGGUUUGUUCAAUGAUUUUUUGUUUGUUAUUCAUUCUGCUACAAACCUUGUUGUUGAUCAACAAUUUCCUAUCAUUUGAUAGAAAAGACACUAGUAUGUGUUGAAGAUAGAUGAAGACUCUUCUCAACUUGGAUAAAGAAAGUGUUUGAUGAAGAAAAUCUUCUUAAAGGUUGAUGUACAUUGUAUUCAUGGUCCUGUUUUUGAACUCUUGUAUCUGCACUCUAGGUGUUUUCUUUCCUAUAAUUUCUCUUUGUAAAGGUGUUUAUAAUUGUACUUCUUGACAGGGUUUCUUGAAGUAAGUGUGUUGCUGAAAUAGGGUGUUUCAGCUUGUGUUCUUUGUUCUUGGAGGGUUCAAGAACCAAGUAGUGUUUCUAAAGAUUGCUUUGGCUUAGUGAAAUCCAUCUUGGUAAAAAGUGGGAGUGCAUGUAGCUCUUGAUGAGUGAACCAGUAUAAAACUAUGUGUGCUCUUCUCCUUCCUUGAUCUUUUCUUUAAAUCUAAAAUCUGUAAUAAAAUGAAUCUGUUGUUUGAAAAUUGAAUCUAUUGUUCUUUUUACUGUUACUGGGUUAAAUCAUAUACUGUUCUUCAAGAUUCUGAUAAGGCCUGUAUCUUGCUUAAAAUUCACUGUGUCUGUAAUUGUUGAUUGAGUAAUACAAGUGUUUAAAAUUCAAUUAAGCAAUCUUGUUCAGAAUUCUUUUGUCUUUGAAACUGCUUUCAAAAAGAUUUUAAAGGUUGUCUGUCAAAAUUAAUUUCUACACUGAGUAUCUCUUAACUGAAUUGUUCCUUUUAAAUCUGCUAGUAUUUGGAAUUAUUAAGCAAGAAAUUAAAUAUGUUAUUUCUAAAAUAAAUAUGUUGUAUUUUUUGAA